AUCAUCAGUGAUGAGCAUGUGAAUAACCUUACACAGUAUUAGUUCAGUCUUUAGCCUCGAGUCAAGUCACCAUGAUCAGAGUUCUAGUCUUUUUUCAGUCACUUUACUGGAUACAAGGAGUUGCAGGGGUGAAUGAUGUCUCUCAGCCCAAUAUACUCUGGGCUAAAUUCGGCCAAUCAGCCACAAUAAACUGCUCACACACCAAGGGUUCAUCUUACGAUCGGAUGUACUGGUUCCGUCAGCAUCAUGGAGAGAGCAUGGACCUCAUCGUGUACACUGGCACAUUCAUCACUCCAGACUUUGGAAAGUUCAGCCAAAGUAAAUUCUCAACAAUUAACACAGUAGCUCAGAGCGGCUCUUUUACAGUGAACGACGUGGAUUAUAAUGACAGCGCUGUGUAUUUCUGUGCUGUGAGUGAACACAGUGUUAUAACCAUAGGGCAGAGCUGUACAAAAACACACUGUGUGUCAAGAAGAAAUGGAGAUGCCCAAAGAGGGCAGUAUGACACAAUAAAUCAUUCUGUUAAGGAGUCAUAAAGAGUUUGAUUUAUAUUUCCUGAAUGGAGAGUCUUGCAGGAUUUUGGAUGUCUUAUCAGUCAAUUGUGAUAAUAAUAACUUGUCAAUAUUAUAGAAUUUCUGAGGUAACGUUUUACUGCAAGUCAAGCAGUGCAAUAAAACCAUGGUUUUCAAUGAUUCCACAAACUCUUAUGGCUAAUUGAACAACAUGAAGCACAUCCAAGGAGUCAUUU